rnacentral:rRNA from 1 species
GACGAACGCUGGCGGCGUGCUUAACACAUGCAAGUCGAACGGAAAGGCCCUGCUUGCAGGGUACUCGAGUGGCGAACGGGUGAGUAACACGUGGGUGAUCUGCCCUGCACUUCGGGAUAAGCCUGGGAAACUGGGUCUAAUACCGGAUAGGAGCCAUUUUUAGUGUGAUGGUUGGAAAGUUUUUUCGGUGUAGGGUGAGCUCGCGGCCUAUCAGCUUGUUGGUGGGGUAAUGGCCUACCAAGGCGGCGACGGGUAGCCGGCCUGAGAGGGUGGACGGCCACAUUGGGACUGAGGGACGGCCCAGACUCCUACGGGAGGCAGCAGUGGGGAAGAUUGCACAAUGGGCGCAAGCCUGAUGCAGCGACGCCGCGUGGGGGAUGACGGCCUUCGGGUUGUAAACUCCUUUCGCUAGGGACGAAGCUUUUUGUGACGGUACCUAGAUAAGAAGCACCGGCUAACUACGUG